AUUGAACGCUGGCGGCAUGCCUUACACAUGCAAGUCGAACGGCAGCGGGCCUUCGGGUGCCGGCGAGUGGCGAACGGGUGAGUAAUGCAUCGGAACGUGCCAUUGAGUGGGGGAUAACGUAGCGAAAGUUACGCUAAUACCGCAUAUUCUGUGAGCAGGAAAGCAGGGGACCGCAAGGCCUUGCGCUCUUUGAGCGGCCGAUGUCAGAUUAGCUAGUUGGUGAGGUAAAGGCUUACCAAGGCGACGAUCUGUAGCGGGUCUGAGAGGAUGAUCCGCCACACUGGAACUGAGACACGGUCCAGACUCCUACGGGAGGCAGCAGUGGGGAAUUUUGGACAAUGGCGCAAGCCUGAUCCAGCCAUGCCGCGUGAGUGAAGAAGGCCUCGGUUGU
rnacentral:rRNA from 1 species